UACGUAGGGGGCAAGCGUUGUCCGGAUUUAUUGGGCGUAAAGAGCGUGUAGGCGGCCAGACAGGUCAGCUGUGAAAACUCGAGGCUCAACCUCGAGACGUCGGUUGAAACCGUCUGGCUAGAGUCCGGAAGAGGAGAGUGGAAUUCCCGGUGUAGCGGUGAAAUGCGUAGAGAUCGGGAGGAAUACCAGUGGCGAAGGCGGCCGGCUGGGCCACGACCGACACUGAGGUGCGAAAGCGUGGGGAGCGAACCGG
rnacentral:rRNA from 1 species